CGACAAGCGGAGGAGCAUGUGGUUUAAUUCGAUGAUACGCGAGGAACUUACCUGGGCUCGAACGUAAGAUGACUGUAGGUGAAAGCUUACAUCUCUUCGGAGCAUUUUACGAGGUGCUGCAUGGUUGUCGUCAGCUCGUGCCGUGAGGUGUCGGGUUAAGUCCCAUAACGAGCGCAACCCCUACCUUUAGCUGCCAUCAGGUUAAGCUGGGGACUCUAAAGGAACUGCCUACGCAAGUAGUGAGGAAGCGGGGAUGACGUCAAAUCAGCACGGCCCUUACGUCCAGGACUACACACGUGCUACAAUGGCCGAUACAGAGGGCAGCUACCUGGUGACAGGAUGCAAAUCUCCAAAGUCGGUCUCAGUUCGGAUCGGAGUCUGCAACCCGACUCCGUGAAGUUGGAUUCGCUAGUAAUCGCGCAUCAGCCAUGGCGCGGUGAAUACGUUCCCGGGCCUU
rnacentral:rRNA from 1 species